rnacentral:rRNA from 1 species
GUGCCAGCCGCCGCGGUAAUACAGAGGGUGCAAGCGUUAAUCGGAAUUACUGGGCGUAAAGCGUGCGUAGACGGUUAUGUAAGUCAGGUGUGAAAGCCCCGGGCUCAACCUGGGAAUGCCAUUUGAGACUGCAUAGCUAGGGUACGGAAGAGGGAAGCGGAAUUUCAGGUGUAGCGGUGAAAUGCGUAGAUAUCUGAAGGAACACCAGUGGCGAAAGCGGCUUCCUGGUCCAGUACCGACGUUCAGGCACGAAAGCGUGGGGAGCAAACAGGAUUAGAUACCCCUGUAGUCC